UGGUAGUGCCCACCUAGCCCAGGACAAGGAGUGGAACGGGAGCUGCAGCUGCAGUGGUCACGAGGGCAGCCUGGAGGAGGUGGCCAUGAAGGAUAGCCUUCAUAUCGUCAGCCUCUGGUGAGAAGCAGCAGCAUCCUUCCAGAGUCACUUCUGAUCCCCAAGUUUCCAAGGAAACAAGACUCUAGGUCCACUUUGCCGUCCAGACCUGAAGCUGACCCUUCAUACACAGCCCUGUGAUACUUUGAGCCUGCUUGCCUCAAAACACUGCUUGCUUUACACUUCACCUAACUCCACCCUUCCCCUCAAUUCUUUAAUAACCUUUCCCUUUGUUCAGCCAGAUCACUAUAGUUCCUCUGCUGGGUGGUUUCCCUCAUUGGAAUAAGUCAACAACUGGGUUUGUUUCUGGUGGUUUUAGGCUGACUUGGCGAGGACUAGCCUAAAAAUUAACCCAAAGGAGAAAAAUAAAAUUGUAUGCAUGAAGAUGGCA
rnacentral:sRNA from 1 species